GAUGAACGCUGGCGGCGUGCCUAAUACAUGCAAGUCGAGCGAACGGACGAGAAGCUUGCUUCUCUGAUGUUAGCGGCGGACGGGUGAGUAACACGUGGAUAACCUACCUAUAAGACUGGGAUAACUUCGGGAAACCGGAGCUAAUACCGGAUAAUAUUUUGAACCGCAUGGUUCAAAAGUGAAAGACGGUCUUGCUGUCACUUAUAGAUGGAUCCGCGCUGCAUUAGCUAGUUGGUAAGGUAACGGCUUACCAAGGCACCGAUGCAUAGCCGACCUGAGAGUGGGAUCGGCCACACUGGAACUGAGACACGGUCCAGACUCCUACGGGAGGCAGCAGUAGGGAAUCUUCCGCAAAGGGCGAAAGCCUGACGGAGCAACGCCGCGUGAGUGAUGAAGGUCUUCGGAUCGUAAAACUCUGUUAUUAGGGAAGAACAUAUGUGUAAGUAACUGUGCACAUCGUGACGGUACCUAAUCAGAAAGCCACGGCUAACUACGUG
rnacentral:rRNA from 1 species